GUGCUCACUUUGACAGCACAUACACUAAAAUUGGAACAAUACAGAGGAGAUUAGCGUGGCCCCUGCACAAGGAUGACACGCAAAUUUGUGAGCAUUAUGGGUGGGAU
rnacentral:snRNA from 1 species